GUUAAAUCUGGGAACUAGGACCUGUUCAUUCUUAAGGUUUGAAUCCAGGAUGGCUGUGGGAUGGCUGUUGUUACUCCGAGGAGAGAUGCAGGUGAUCCCGCUGGUGGGAGAAAAGAAGAGGAAGAAGAGGACUUGGAGAAACAAUAAUCGUCUUGGGUGGAUGGACUUUGGCAUGGAGGAGGGCUCUGAAAUGAGUCUCAGGCUGUGCUACACUCCUGCCAGUGUGAGCUUCCUGUGGCGCCUUGACCAGCCUGGGGUGACAAGACCAGUAGUGUCAGCAGAUGGUGAUCUGGCUGUGGCUCUGAAGAUCUGGCGUGCGAUGUGAUUGGCCCCUGCAUUCGGUUGACUUAAAGAAGGAGGUUGCCUUGUUUGUGUGUGUUGGGGGCCGAGAGCAGGGAGGGAUGUGGGCAAGGGGCUUAUCUAAUCAGCUGGAGUCUGCAGAGCGAAAACAGAAGAGGAGAUUCUGCUUCAGGACAACGCAUCCACCCCUGCCUGGGGUUUGCAGGCCUGGGCCCCAGCAACUUAAGGCUGGGGCCUUAAUUCCUUCCAAUAAACCUCUUUAGUUCUGUGUAUUUGCA
rnacentral:lncRNA from 1 species